GAGUUUGAUCCUGGCUCAGAAUCAACGCUGGCGGCGCGCCUAACACAUGCAAGUCGAACGGGAAAGUGGGCAACCAUGAGUACAGUGGCGUACGGGUGAGUAACACGUGGGUAAUCUACCUCUUAGUGGGGAAUAACCCCGGGAAACCGGGGCUAACACCGCAUAACACUGCAAAGUCAAAUGCGUAAGCAGCUUGGAGAGGGGGUCGCGGUUGAUUAGCUAGUUGGUAGGGUAAUGGCCUACCAAGGCAAUGAUCAAUAGCCGGCCUGAGAGGGCGCACGGCCACACUGGAACUGAAACACGGUCCAGACUCCUACGGGAGGCAGCAGUGGGGAAUUUUGCGCAAUGGGGGAAACCCUGACGCAGCAAUGCCGCGUGGAGGAUGAAGUCCUUUGGGAUGUAAACUCCUUUCGAUCGGGAAGAUAAUGACGGUACCGGAAGAAGAAGCCCCGGCUAACUCUGUGCCAGCAGCCGCGGUAAUACAGAGGGGGCAAGCGUUGUUCGGAAUUAUUGGGCGUAAAGGGCGCGUAGGCGGUGCGGUAAGUCACCUGUGAAAUCUCUGGGCUCAACUCAGAGUCUGCAGGCGAAACUGCCGUGCUUGAGUGUGGGAGAGGUAUGUGGAAUUCCCGGUGUAGCGGUGAAAUGCGUAGAUAUCGGGAGGAACACCUGUGGCGAAAGCGGCAUACUGGACCACAACUGACGCUGAGGCGCGAAAGCUAGGGGAGCAAACAGGAUUAGAUACCCUGGUAGUCCUAGCCCUAAACGAUGGAUGCU
rnacentral:rRNA from 1 species